rnacentral:rRNA from 1 species
CCUACGGGGGGCAGCAGUGAGGAAUAUUGGUCAAUGGCCGCAGGCCUGAACCAGCCAAGUCGCGUGAGGGAUGACGGUCCUAUGGAUUGUAAACCUCUUUUGUCGGGGAGCAAAGGGCGCCACGUGUGGCGCUUUGCGAGUACCCGAAGAAAAAGCAUCGGCUAACUCCGUUCCAGCAGCCGCGGUAAUACGGAGGAUGCGAGCGUUCUCCGGAUUUAUUGGGUUUAAAGGGUGCGCAGGCGGAAUUUCAAGUCAGCGGUAAAAUUGCGGGGCUCACCCCCGUCGUGCCGUUGAAACUGGUGUUCUUGAGUGAGCGAGAAGUAUGCGGAAUGCGUGGUGUAGCGGUGAAAUGCAUAGAUAUCACGCAGAACUCCGAUUGCGAAGGCAGCAUACCGGCGCUCAACUGACGCUCAUGCACGAAAGCGUGGGUAUCGAACAGGAUUAGAUACCCCGGUAGUC